ACCCUGUAGAGGUACAACUGAAGUAGUCAUGACCUGACCUGCUGCAAUCCUCACAGGCUGUCUCUCAUCUGCACUGUCUCUGGCUUCUCAUUAACCAUCUAUGGUGUAAACUGGGUCCUCCAGCCACUAGGAAGGGGAUUGCAGAGGAUGCCAGCAAUAUGGAGAGGUGAAAGCACAGAGUAUAAUUCAGAUCUCAAAUCCUGAAUCAGCAUCAGUAGGGACACAUCCAAGAGUCAACUUUUCUUAAAACUGAACAGAAUUCAAACUGAGGACAUAGCCAUCUAUGACCCUGUCAGAGA